UACUGCUAUCAGUGUUCGAUUAAGCCAUGCGAGUUAAAUGUUCUUCGUGAACAUGGCGUACUGCUCAGUAGCACGUGGAUAACCUGCCCUAAGGUCCGGCAUAACCCCGGGAAACUGGGGAUAAUACCGGAUAAACCAUAGAUACUGGAAUGUUCUGUGGUUAAAAGUUCCGGCGCCUUAGGAUGGAUCUGCGGCCUAUCAGGUAGUAGUGGGUGUAAAGUACCUACUAGCCGACGACGGGUACGGGUUGUGAGAGCAAGAGCCCGGAGAUGGAUUCUGAGACAUGAAUCCAGGCCCUACGGGGCGCAGCAGGCGCGAAAUCUUUACAAUGCGGGAAACCGCGAUAAGGGGACACUGAGUGCCAGCAUAUUAUGUUGGCUGUCCACCUGUAUAAAUCACAGGUGUUAGCAAGGGCCGGGCAAGACCGGUGCCAGCCGCCGCGGUAACACCGGCGGCCCGAGUGGUAGCCACUAUUAUUGGGUCUAAAGGGUCCGUAGCCGGUUUGAUCAGUCUUCCGGGAAAUCUGACAGCUCAACUGUUAGGCUUCCGGGGGAUACUGUC
rnacentral:rRNA from 1 species